GACGAACGCUGGCGGCGUGCUUAACACAUGCAAGUCGAACGGAAAGGCCCUGCUUUUUUGGUGUGCUCGAGUGGCGAACGGGUGAGUAACACGUGAGUAACCUGCCCUUGACUUUGGUAUAACUUCAGGAAACUGGGGCUAAUACCGGAUAGGAGCUCCUGCUGCAUGGUGGGGGUUGGAAAGUUUCGGCGGUUGGGGAUGGACUCGCGGCUUAUGAGCUUGUUGGUGGGGUAGUGGCUUACCAAGGCUUUGACGGGUAGCCGGCCUGAGAGGGUGACCGGCCACAUUGGGACUGAGAGACGGCCCAGACUCCUACGGGAGGCAGCAGUGGGGAAUAUUGCACAAUGGGCGGAAGCCUGAUGAAGCAACGCCGCGUGUGGGAUGACGGCCUUCGGGUUGUAAACCGCUUUCGCCUGUGACGAAGCGUGAGUGACGGUAAUGGGUAAAGAAGCACCGGCUAACUACGUG
rnacentral:rRNA from 1 species